rnacentral:tRNA from 1 species
GCCGGGGUGGUGAAAUCGGUAUACACAGGGGACUUAAAAUCCCCCGGGAAAAUUCCCUUGCGGGUUCGAGUCCCGCCCCCGGCA